rnacentral:rRNA from 1 species
UAAAAUUAAAAAUUUUGGCGGUAUUUUAGUCUAUUCAGAGGAACCUGUUCUGUAAUUGAUAGCCCACGAUUUAAAACACUUUUUUUAAUAAGUUUAUAUACCGCCGUAGUUAGAAUAUUUCGAAGGAAUAAAAUGUUCAUUAAGUUAUAUUAAAAGAUAAAUCAGGUCAAGGUGUAGCUGAUAGGAAAGUAGAAAUGGGUUACAAUAAGAUUAUUUUUGGAUUAAUUGUUUUAAUUGGUUAUGAAAUUGGAUUUGAAAGUAAUUAUAUAUAUAUAUUUAUAGUGAUUAUAGCUCUAAAAUAUGUACAUAUUGCCCGUCGCUUUUGUUUUAAGAUGAAAUAAGUCGUAACAUAGUAGAUUUACUGGAAAGUGAAUCUAGAAA